GUGCCGGAGGGGUAAGCGGAAGGCCUAGUGUAGCGGUGAAAUGCGUAGAUAUUUAGGAGGAACACCAGUGGCGAAGGCGGCUUACUGGACGGUAACUGACGUUGAGGCUCGAAAGCGUGGGGAGCAAACAGGAUUAGAUACCAUGGUAGUUCACGCCGUAAACGAUGAAUAAUAGGUGUCGGGUGGCAAAGCCAUUCGGUGCCGUCGCAAACGCAGUAAGUAUUCCAGUAGGGGAGUACGUUCGCAAGAAUGAAACUCAAAGGAAUUGACGGGGACCCGCACAAGCGGUGGAGCAUGUGGUUUAAUUAGAAGCAACGAGUAGAACCUUACCAAGUCUUGACAUCCGCCUGACCGAUCCAUAACCGGAUCUUUCCUUCGGGUCAGGCGAGACAGGUGGCGCAUGGUUGUCGUCAGCUCGUGUCGUGAGAUGUUGGGUUAAGUCUCGCACCGAGCGCAACCCCUAUCCUCAGUAGCCAGCAUUUAAGGUGGGCACUCUGGGGAGACUGCCAGGGAUAACGUGGAGGAAGGCGGGGAUGACGUCAAAUCAUCAUGCCCCUUAUGAUUUGGGCUAUCACACGUGUUGCAAUGGCGUAAACAAAGGGAAGCGAGAUUG
rnacentral:rRNA from 1 species